AGUGAACGCUGGCGGUAGGCCUAACACAUGCAAGUCGAACGGCAGCACAGUAAGAGCUUGCUCUUACGGGUGGCGAGUGGCGGACGGGUGAGGAAUACAUCGGAAUCUACUUUUUCGUGGGGGAUAACGUAGGGAAACUUACGCUAAUACCGCAUACGACCUACGGGUGAAAGCAGGGGAUCUUCGGACCUUGCGCGAUUGAAUGAGCCGAUGUCGGAUUAGCUAGUUGGCGGGGUAAAGGCCCACCAAGGCGACGAUCCGUAGCUGGUCUGAGAGGAUGAUCAGCCACACUGGAACUGAGACACGGUCCAGACUCCUACGGGAGGAAGCAGUGGGGAAUAUUGGACGAUGGGCGCAAGCCUGAUCCAGCCAUACCGCGUGGGCGAAGAAGGCCUUCGGGUUGUAAAGCCCUUUUGUUGGGAAAGAAAAGCAGCAGGUUAAUACCCCGCUGUUCUGACGGUACCCAAAGAAUAAGCACCGGCUAACUUCGUG
rnacentral:rRNA from 1 species